AGAAAUUGCACAUCAAAUUAUUGAACAACAGAUGGGAGAGGAUAGAAUUUUGUGGCAAUAGAAUCGGUAGUUUAAAAGAUUGUUACAGAGCAGCAAACUGGGCAGAAAAUCCAGAUUGUGACAGCACUUGAUCAUAAUACCCAAGGCAAGCAGUUCAUUCUGACAAAUCACGACGGCUCUACUCCAAGCAAAGUCAUUCUGGCCAGGCAAGAUUCCACUCCAGGAAAAGUUUUCCUUACAACUCCAGAUGCAGCAGGUGUCAACCAGUUAUUUUUUACCACUCCUGAUCUGUCUGCACAACACCUGCAGGACGUCAUUAUGGAGCAGUAACUUGUGAAGGCUGCAAAGGAUUUUUUAAAAGAAGCAUCCGAAAAAAUUU
rnacentral:sRNA from 1 species